AUGGCGUUCAUCCAUCCACAAAGUAGCAGCAUGGCGGGGCCGCGGCGGCUUGCUGCCGUGCCGGAGUUGAGCUCCUCGGCCGCCUCCCCGCCGCGUGACGGCCUCUACCGCGACUUGAUUCGGACGGUCGCCGUGUCCGGAGCGCAGAGGAGAUCAACCAUCUUGGGUCAUAGCGGAUCCAGCUACUCCACUGCGUCGAGUUCCUGCCCGUCCAACAACUCCGGCCACUCCUCUGGUUCAGCGUCCGCCGUUGCGCUGGAGCGCUUGGGCAACCAAGAGCUCAGGAGGAUUGCUCACCGAAUGGUCAGCGACGGGUACGCCCACCGCAUGGUGGAAGCAUUCAUCCGCGCAUCUCCUGCACCAGAAUUCCAAUUCGGUGGUAUCCCGGACCAUGCUCUGACAAAUUGGUUCUCCGAGCUUGACGUUGACUGGGUUCUCCAAAUCGACGAUGAGCUAGGCUUACAGCGGCUGCUUCGAGACAAGCCGGCGACGACGCAAGACUUGGUCGACAAGUGGAUCCGGGCUCUUACAGUAAUUGCCGCCAGUAUCAUUGAGUUGGUAUGCGCCUUCUACAGGACGCCGGCGGUCACACUGUUUGGCAAAGCGAGCAUCACCAAAAUGCUCGAUGUCGUGGAUGUCAUCAUCACCGUUGUCGAAGCGGAGAAGCUACAGGUUGUGCUUGACAUGUUUACAUGUGUCUGUGGUGCGUCGCACAUGUUAAGCAUUUUCAACGAGAUAGGCGGCCUGUUCGAGAGACAAGCAAAGAGGCUAAGUGAGAUCACAGUAAGCACGAUGGAGGAGGUGAGGACACUCGUGGAGGAAGAUGACUCAUGGGCUAUUGAGAUCUCACGAGGAGGAGGCGAGGUUCACAAGAACACUCCGCUCAUCAUGGAUUGCGUCGUAUCCAUGAAAAAUGCACGGACUUCAAUGCAAAACUCUGCACCGAGCCACAACUCUGAAAACCUUUGCGGCGUGAUCGAUGGCACAAUCGAUUAUCUGAAGGAUCUGCUCUUCACAAAAUCGGAGUCAUGCUCGGAUCAAAGCCUCCGGUAUAUGUUCCUGCUCAACAAUUCCUAUUUCGUAGCUCAUGUGGUCUCUGAGUCAUCAGCAUCUCCUGCAUACCUAAAUCAAUUGCAUUACAUGGAUAGUUAUCUCGAUGUUUCUUGGGGGUAUGUACUCUCCUGCAUACCAAAAUCGAGAUUUCCUGGGCCGAUCCAUUGUUGGAUAAACACGUCUUCAUUGGUGAAAUUCGAGUCGGCAUUUCACAAAACGUACCAGACUCAGAAGUUGUGGAAGGUUCCGGACCCUCGGCUCAGAGAUGCGCUGCGGAGAGCUAUCAUUGAGAGAGUCAUUACAGGUUACCGCAACUACCUGGAGGAGCAUCUGGAGCAAGAGAAACACGUUGGCCGCGAAAGCAGUACGCCUGAAGUUUUGGAGGAGAUGUUGGGAGAGCUAUUUGAAGGAUGA
rnacentral:rRNA from 1 species